UAUCAAAUAUCUCUGCGGUUUGAU
rnacentral:siRNA from 1 species